GAUGAACGCUAGCGGCAGGCUUAACACAUGCAAGUCGAGGGGUAUAGUAGCAAUACUAGAGACCGGCGCACGGGUGCGUAACGCGUAUGCAACCUACCUUUUACAGAGGGAUAGCCCAGAGAAAUUUGGAUUAAUACCUCAUAGUGUUAUUAGAUGGCAUCAUUUUAUAACUAAAGUUCCAACGGUAAAGAUGGGCAUGCGUCCUAUUAGCUAGAUGGUAAGGUAACGGCUUACCAUGGCUACGAUAGGUAGGGGUCCUGAGAGGGAGAUCCCCCANACUGG
rnacentral:rRNA from 1 species